AUUGAACGCUGGCGGCAGGCCUAACACAUGCAAGUCGAACGAGUGGCGGACGGGUGAGUAAUGUCUGGGAAACUGCCUGAUGGAGGGGGAUAACUACUGGAAACGGUAGCUAAUACCGCAUACCAUCAGAUGUGCCCAGAUGGGAUUAGCUGGUUGGUGGGGUAACGGCUAACCCAGGCGACGAGCCCUAGCUGGUCUGAGAGGAUGACCAGCAACACGGGAACUGAGAAACGGUCCAGACUCCUAAGGUAGUCAGCAUUGGGGAAUAUUGGACAAGGGGCGCAAGCCUGAUGCAGCCAUGCCGAGUGUAUGAAGAAGGCCUUCGGGUUGUAAAGUACUUUCAGCGGGGAGGCGUUACCCGCAGAAGAAGCACCGGCUAACUCCGUGCCAGCAGCCGCGGUAAUUC
rnacentral:rRNA from 1 species